UGGGAAAUUGGCUGACAAAGCCGCAUGGGUUCACAGGGUGUGAACUGUGACUUAGCCCCACUGAAAUGCAGAUUGGAUGUGGAACAAAAAUCCAGCCGUGUGAAUUGGGCCUUACACUGGCUAGAGCCCACCUCCAGCAGGGCAGGUGCGUCUUAUAGUCUGAUGUGUCUUAUGGAGCAAAAAAACAUGGUUGAUGUGUGGUGAACAGAGAUGGUCAACCCAACGCUUCAUGACCUCGGCGCAUUCCUCCGGAUUCAGUCGCACCUGAUAAAGAAGAAGGUUGAACAGUGUGACCCUCAAAUCACACACAACCAUUUCCGC